UGUAGGUUCCAAUGAGAGUCUGGAUUGUGGUUGAAGGUAUUUUGGACCAUUCCUCUUUACAAAACAUCUCUAGUUCAUUCACGUCAACAUUUUUGAUGAAGCUUUUUCUUUGGAGCGGAACUUAAAUCAGACAGUAAGAACCUGCUUUUUUCAUUUGAGGAACAUCUCAAAACUUAGAUCUAUAGGGACUAUUCUAACAGUGUUUUUUUUAUCUGUGUAAACAAGAAAGGGCUGGCUCAUCUCCAGGUUGAUCAAAAGUCUGCAGCAAGACUACUGGCUUGCUCAAAGGAGCUCAUGUAACUCCUGUUUUAAAGUCGCUACAUUGGCUACCAAUCAGAUUUAGGUUCCAUUUUAAGAUUUUAGUUUUAACCUUCAGAGCACUACAGGGACAGGCCCCUCCCUAUAUAAUCUGAUUUGAUUUGUAUUCAUACCUGUUUUCGUAACUUGACAUUGAAUCAAAACCUUUCAGUGGCCCCCCACACUCGUUUCAGAACUUGAGGGGACUGAUCUUUCCAAGUUGUUGCACCCAGACUAUGGAAUGCACUAACCCUAACCCCCUAACCCUAACCCUCCUCCGUUUCUAUGCUGUCUGGACUCGGUGGAGACGUUUAAAAAGCAGCUUUUUAUUUCAAAAAGCUUUUGAAAGUGCUGUCCGUCUGGACCAGGGUUUUUAUGAUGUAUUUAUAACUGUACUAUGUUUUGUUACCUGUCUUGUGAAGCACUUUGUGACAUAUGUCUGUGAAAAGUGCUAUAUAAAUAAACUUUUACUUUACUUUUGUAAAGUUAAAGUUUACUUCUGAGUUAACAGGCAAAGGGGAGACUGAAUCAGGGUUACUUAACUCCGGUUGAGUGGCUCUUAAGAAAUUAAUCCGGGCUCGGAAGUUCUGGAAUCCAACUGUGGAAAGGAGCAUCGGCGGCACGUAUGCCACUUGCUCCUGGGAGAGGGAAAUGGUGGAGAAAUGAAGGCCUGCUCCUCAUCCUCCAACCACAUCGCAGCCAGAAAAAAAGGCAGGUGAGUACUGUUCCUGUUGAAGUGUGGAGGAGGUGAUAUUCCGUUGCAGGGGCGUAGAAACACUUUCCAGUUGUUGCUGUUGCUGCUGGAAUCUGCUGCUGCUUUGGUGUGGAACGCCGGGAGUGGACCAAGCUUGCUAGCUUCUGAGCUUGUAGCAUGUCCCGCACAUGCAGCUUUUUAACCAGGCCCGUUAUUUCCGGAAGCUGGUGAAAAUGUGGAUUAUCCUCUAGAAUUGCCUCGAUGGCGUUUAUCCCUACCACCCUUGCCCUGGUAUCUGAGGUGUGUGAAAUUUGCUUAAUCAGGCCUUGGAUGCUGGCCAGGUUGCUCUCCUGGGAUAAGCCCACUGGGUCUAUGUAGUGGUCGUGUCGUUCUGUCAUGGAGCGCUGUGUGGCAGGGAGAAAAGGAACCAAUUGUUUUGAUUGUGAGAGAUAACGAACCAAAGAUCAUUCUAUUGAGAGAUAUGGAGCCAGCGAGGAAGAGAGGAAGUUAUGUGGCAGUAUCUUUAGUUGAUUUUGGUCAAUUUUUUCUUGUUGUUUGCUUUUGAUUUGUGUGUGUAUAUUUUAUCUUAAAUCAUGAAAAAUUUAAAAUGUCAAAAAUCUGCUUUUCAUAAUAUAAAUAUCAUUACAUUACUUUAGAAAGACUUCCAUUUGACUCUUUAAAUUUAAUGUAAUAAAAAAAAAACUUAGUAGCCAGAUAAUUGUUGUGUGGUGUUUUGGUCUUUCUGUGUUUUUGUGUCUCCUUUUCUGGCACAGGUAGGCGGGGCAGCGAUUUCAGUGAAUCGCGGAGACACAAGCCCCAGCUCACCCGAGAGUGGAGGCCGAAGUGUUCGAGGUAUGCCCCGAGGACUCGCUGCCGUUGCGCCAUGAGGGACACUAAGGCCCUGACAGACUCCAGGGACAUGCCUAGAAAAGGUGGUCUGAGAUGGUUCCAACCUGCACUUCUUGGGAUUCAGGUGGAGCUCCAGAGCCUGAACAUGGGAGACCAGAAGGGCAACAUGGCUGUGGCACUGUUCUACUGAGGAGGCGCAGACCGGCCAGUCGUCAGGUAAUUCAAGAUCCUGAGGCCCAGCAGCCUCAUAAGUGCAAGGGUUAUGCCCACACACCUGGUGAAGGUUCAGGGUGCCAGGGAGAUACCAAAGAGGAAGACGAGGAACUCGAAGAUCCGCCCCUCGAACCCGAAUCUGAGGAACUGCCAGUGCCCCUGCCAGGUAGGGAUCUCAAAGUAGGCGUCCUUCAGAUGGAUCGUGGCAAACCAUUCCCCCUCAUUGACGGCCUGACGCACCCUGGGGAUCGUCAGCAUCUUGCACUUCAGGGACCAGAGAUAACAACUGACUCCCCCGAGGUCCAGAAUGGGACGAAGAACCCUGUCCCGCUUAGGAACCAGGAAGUAGCAGGAGAAAAACCCUGCUUGGCUGUCCCAAGCGUCUACCGCCCAUAUGGCCCCCUUCGCCAGGCUGGGUGGCCUGGCUCCAAGAGAUGUCAGGAGGAAGGGGGGCGGCUGGAGGGUGGCUGAGCCUUGGCCUCACAUCCUCCCUGCCUGCCCUGAGCGUGGCCGCUGCGUCUACGAAAGGCCUCCAGCUCGGGUCGGAGAUCUCCAAGGCCCCAAGCUGGAGGCUUACUCUGGCCGAAUGCUUUCGCAGGCCUCGUGACACCUCCUGAGCGGUAUGGCGAGUUUCUGUGUUCAGUCAAUCACACACGCACAACCCAAGUGGAGAUCAAAUGAUCCCCGAUGUCAUGUUUGCACAGCUGUUUUAUACGUAAGGUGUCAGGUGUGGCCGGGCUAACCGGAGUGUCUUAAUGGAAUAUCCACAUGCCACGACCAAGGAGGGUCAUACCCUGUACAUAUGAAAUAUGUAAUGGAGUGGAAAGAUGUCUCGAUAUGAUAGAGAACAUCUUUUCCUGAGGCUGAAUGGAGUUUCAGUUUACAUCCCAGCACCACAUCUCUCAGUUUCUCUCUUUGCUGCUCAGUCUGGCUUCUGAUAACUUCCCCGGAGAUUGUAUUUUCAGACUAAAUCGAGUGCGCCACCGGUGUGUGUUUGUCCUGCAAGUCCUGGCUCUGUCAGGGACCUGGGCCUGAGUGACCCAGGGUCCAAGAGCAGUUAUGGACUAAUAUAAUAUAUUACGUACUAUGCACUGGGUUUCAGGCAGGCCUGGUGGGUGUGUCCCGUCUGGAGGUGGCCACACCUGAAGCGGAUGAUCACACACACCUGCAGCCAAUAGUCUGUGGGACCCAGGAAGACCGUAUACCUGCAGCUCUACCAGUGUUUGUGCACUGCAGCCUCUUCUGUUCCAUGUGAGAGGAUUUUCUCUAAGGCAGGAGAAAUUAUCUCCAAAUAAAGAAACAGACUCGGCCAUCGCAUAACGGAACAAAUUCUCUUCUUAAAUAAAAACCAAACAGGAUAACCUUAAAUGCAUCAUGUUUUUACUUCACAAGUUCAUAAGCAUUUUCCUUUUCCAGUUCA